rnacentral:lncRNA from 1 species
CCUACACGGAAGGAAGUGCACUCUUCUUCCCUUGCCCAUCAGCCGGCCGCCGUGCCUCCACGGUCAUAAUGAAGGCUGUCUUCAGGCUGUGAGCCAAAGAGCUUCUAAUGGAAAAGCAAGCCGCACUUUCCAGUGAGGAUUUGCAAAGAAGUCCACAAUGUCGGAAAAAAAUAUUGAAAUUGAGAAGAAAAAUCCAUGGAAAUAGAUGUAUAUAUUCCAAGAGCAAUGAAAGAGGGGAAAUGAGAACACAGAAGGAAACACUCCGUUCUUGGGGGAGAAAAAAAAAAAAAGCACAUCACAUUUCUUUACCACUCUGGUCAAAUUGUCAUUGGAUUUUGGCAAGAUUAGCAAAGGAAAGCUGGAUCCACCCGGCUUCUCACAUACCAUCUAAAAGGACUUUUUUAAGAAGGCUGCCAUAACCAUCCAGAAAUCUUCUUUGAUCUACAUAUGUAACAAAAGUGAGGUCCUGAAGCUGUAAAAUUCAAAACAAACUUGAUGUCUGCUGAGGAUUCUUUCUGCACUUCAAAGAUGGCGCCUCCAGGGGAAUCAGCCCUGCGAGGGAACAGCCUCUGUGGUAGAAGAAUGGGAACCAGAAGCUUAGCACACUACUGUCUCUUUUUGAGGGCAUCUGAUCCAAGGGCCUGAUCAUUCCCAAAGGCCCCAUCUCUGAAAACUACUGUAAUGCUUAAAAAACAAAACAAAACAAAAACAACAACAACAACACCCCACAGCGCUGUCAUCUUAAAGGGAAUAAGAGAGUAUAUUCUGGAGCCAUUUUGAGGGACCACAGCCCAGGAACUCCAAAUUCCAUGUUCCCACACGGAAACAGUUUUAUGACAUUUUUAUAGGUUUAUAGAGCAAAGAAAGUCAUAAAUUAAGGCAAGUUUAAAUUACAUUGGUAGGUACAUCAGAGAGGCAGGUAUACAUCGAGAUGGGAGAAGCUUUUCUAUCACCCCAAGAUGCCAUCUGAUGACAGUCUUAGCUUUUGGGUUGGUAGGAGCUAGUGGUCUACUCAGUUAAUAGAUUCAAAAAGGAUUUUAUCUGUUAGUCACAAGAUGUUAGUUCUGACACAGAGGUGGACAAGGAAUAGCUGUUCUAGAGGGCAAAGUAGCCCAAGAUAAGGUAACUGGUCAUGCAAUACUCUAAUCUCUCCACAGUUCUGGAAUUCUAAUCCAUCAGUCUCUGCAGACACAACUUCUUCCCUGGAGUUUUCAUUCACAAUGCAAAUUGUUGAAGGGAUACAAACAUUCAAGCCACAGCAGACUUCUUCUUUUACUCUCAGGAUAAAAUACCAGAAAACUGCAUGCACAGAGUUGUGAUCUUAACAUUAUAGCUGACUUGAACACUCUAGAAGGAAUAAUCAAACAGUUUAUGAUGUAAGUACAGUGUGCCUACCACCUAUAGAGCUAGUUUCAGGACAGCCUCCAAAGCCACAAAGAAACCCUGUCUCGAAAAAACAAACAAAC